AUACGUAGGUGGCGAGCGUUGUCCGGAAUUACUGGGUGUAAAGGGCGUGCAGGCGGAUAAUCAAGUCUGAUGUGAAAUACCGAUGCUUAACAUCGGGGGUGCAUCGGAAACUGAGUAUCUUGAGUGCCGGAGAGGAAAGCGGAAUUCCCAGUGUAGCGGUGAAAUGCGUAGAUAUUGGGAGGAACACCAGUGGCGAAGGCGGCUUUCUGGACGGUAACUGACGCUGAGGCGCGAAAGCGUGGGGAGCAAACAGGAUUAGAUACCCUGGUAGUCCACGCUGUAAACGAUGGAUACUAGGUGUAGGUGGUGAAGAACCAUCUGUGCCGGAGUUAACGCAAUAAGUAUCCCACCUGGGGAGUACGGCCGCAAGGUUGAA
rnacentral:rRNA from 1 species